GCGGUGCAUAUAACAAAACUACUCUCUUUUAACUUUUUUGAUUGUAAAAAAUGAAAAAAGGACGCAAAAUGAAGAGGAAGCACAGAGAAGACACCCCCGAUCCCCAUCAAGCUGCUCCUCCUUCGACGAAGAAACCCACUCUACCAGUGAGUUGGCGGCGCCGCCACCGUCGGAGAAGUGAUGGGAGUUCGAGGAGUGAGAAGGAGAGGAAAAGAGAAAAAGAAGAGGAGAGAAGGAGAAAAGACAAACAUAGAGAGAGGAAGAGAAGAGAUUAUAAGCCCGGAUCAUCAGCAUCCGGUUCCGAGGAGAGGGAGAUUGAGAGAGUUCGGAUUAGCCCAGGAGAUGUUGAGUGCAUUUCAUAAUGUUGGCGGUGACAUGAAGCAGCUUGUGCAGAGCCCAAAGAUCAGCAGCGUGACCAUUCUAUUCUGUCUAAUGAUAUGGAUUCUAUAACAUCAGACACCGAACAUAAACAAGAAACUAAUGAAAAUAAUGUGGCAAUGCCAUCUUCAAGAAAUGAUGCUUCUGCUCCUAGGAGAAGGUGAUCAACUUUCUAUCUCUCACUCUUAGGUCCAAAAUUUUGCUGUCUAUUUCAUUUUUAUACUAAUGAAAGAGUUCAAUGAUCCUAAUCAAAGCGAUUAGUUAUUUUUUCAUUUCCUUAUUUGGCUGGAAUAGAUUCCCUCUAGUCUUGUUUUGCAGAGGGAGGCUUUUAAGAGGCCUAGGGGUUGCAAGCUGGUAUUAUGGUAUCUGAAAAUCCUCUUUAGCAAAAAUCUUGAAACUAGUGGCUUUAAUGACGGCAAAGGAAAAAUGUUUUUGUUGUUUCGAAGUAGUCACAGUUAUUUUUCGUGCCUUUCAUAUGAUUUCUCUGUUUGAAUGUAAGUUGAUGUGCUGUCUGUAUGGUGUUUAUGAUGUAAAAUUCCAAAGAAGAAGAGUUGGAGGAAGAUACUGAACUAUUUAUAGGACCUGCCCCACCUGCUAUUGUUACCGAAGCUGCAUCUGCAAAUGAAGCAGAGUGAUUUGAAUAGGUCACCAGAAUUAUGGAUGCUGUGGGCGACCCUCCAUAUGAUGCUGUAGGAGUGACUUCAAACAUGCCUGCCGAUAACAUAAAGAAAAGGUACCGGAAGCUGUCACUUUUGGUGUAUCCAGACAAGUGCUCUCAUCCUCAUGCCCACCAAGCAUUUGUCAAGUUGAAUAGAUCUCUUAAAAGAGCUCUACAUUCUGUAUGUAGAAACUCCACAUUCUAAAUUUUUGUAAUAAGUAAAUGUUGGUGUAGAAUUAUACAUGUGAAUAAAGAACUCUUCCACGGCA